rnacentral:misc_RNA from 1 species
ACGUCAUCCCCAGGGGGCCAAUCGUCACUUAGCCAUGCACCACCUGUCAGGGGCCCUUGCGGACACCGUAUCUCUACGGCUUUUCCCCUGAUGUCAAGCCCAGGUAAGGUUCUUCGCGUUGCCUCGAAUUAAGCCACAUGCUCCGCCGCUUGUGCGGGCCCCCGUCAAUUCCUUUGAGUUUUAGCCUUGCGGCCGUACUCCCCAGGCGGGGUGCUUAAUGCGUUAGCUGCGGCACGGAAGGCGUCGAUAGCCUCCCACACCUAGCACCCAUCGUUUACGGCUGGGACUAC